AUUGAACGCUGGCGGCAUGCUUUACACAUGCAAGUCGAACGGUAACAGGCCUUCGGGUGCUGACGAGUGGCGGACGGGUGCGUAAUGCAUCGGAACGUACCCAGAGGUGGGGGAUAACGCAGCGAAAGCUGUGCUAAUACCGCAUGUGAUCUGAGGAUGAAAGCGGGGGACCGAGCAGCAAUGUUUGGCCUCGCGCCUUUGGAGCGGCCGAUGUCGGAUUAGCUAGUUGGUGGGGUAAAGGCCUACCAAGGCGACGAUCCGUAGCUGGUCUGAGAGGACGACCAGCAACACUGGGACUGAGACACGGCCCAGACUCCUACGGGAGGCAGCAGUGGGGAAUGUUGGACAAUGGGCGCAAGCCUGAUCCAGCAAUGCCGCGUGCGGGAAGAAGGCCUUCGGGUUGUAAACCGCUUUUGGCAGGAACGAAACGGUGUCCGCUAAUACCGGGCGCUAAUGACGGUACCUGCAGAAUAAGCACCGGCUAACUACGUG
rnacentral:rRNA from 1 species